rnacentral:tRNA from 1 species
GCAUGUAUAGAUUAUAUAAAAUCGCAAGGCUGUUAACUUUGAGAAGUCCCUUUGGGGCUGCAAGCG